rnacentral:lncRNA from 1 species
GCCUCCACCUCCUGUUGGAGCAGCUUCACAUCUUCUUCUCUGUCCUGGAUUCUCUGCUGGAUGUUUUCUCGACUCUCCUCCAGAUCUUUCUGCCUCUCAGUCCUUUCUGCUGCAGCUGAGACUGUGUCGUGGCCUUUGUGUUGGUCCAAACAGCAGAGAUGACAGAUAGACUUCUGAUCAGUGCGACAGAACAUCUUCAUCACCUCAUCAUGAUCAGAGCAGAUGUUCUCCUGGAGCUUCUUGGAGGGCUCCACCAGCUUGUGUUUCUUAAAUGAAGGUGAUUCAAAAUGAGGCUGGAGGUGAAUCUGGCAGUAAGAAACCAGACAUUGAAGACAGGACUUGACAGCUUUCAGUUUUCUCCCACUGCAGAAAUCACAGGCCACAUCUUCAGGUCCAGCCUCAGAGGAACCAUCAGGAGCAGCUUGGAGUCCGCUCUUCUUCACUUCCUCCACUAAACCUGCUAACAUGGUGUUUUUCUUCAGGACAGGCCUCGGUAUGAAGGUCUCUCUGCACUGAGGACAGCUGUAGAUCUUCUUCUCAUCCUCAGUAUCCCAGUAGGAUUGAAUACAGCUCAUGCAGAAGCUGUGUCCACAGGAAACAGUCACCGGAUCCUUCAGAAGAUCCAAACAGAUGGAACAAGAGAAAGACUCACGGUUCAGAUGAACUCCUUUCUGCGCCAUUUCAACACUCCCUGUCGACGACGACUGACUGAGUUUUUUUUCCUGAGAAGUGAAACUAGUCUGAGCUCUGAUCUCAACAACAUGUGAGUCAGCAGGAUAUGACCUCAGCACACGGAGGUUACACCCGCCCUCAAACUGUAGAUCUGAAGGGGAGGGAGGAAGGCAGGGAAGGAAACAAGGAAGUGAGAGUGCAGAGUGAAGUGAGCUGUGAGAGACGAGGGAGGGGGGGAUCCAGUUUGUCUACAAUCCAGGACGAGGAGCGUCUCUGUGAACUUUAGACUCUCAAACUCCAACAAGCAGAAGUUCUUAAAGCUGCAGCCGUCCUGAAGAUCAACUGAACCAACAUUUAUUCACCUCAUAGAAACCUCAUCGAGCAGAAACACACUUCAACUGUUUUAGAGCCACAGAGUUAAAGAGACAACACACACACACACACACACACACACACACACACACACACACACACACACACACACACACACACACACACACACACACAUUCUCUCUCUCUCUCUCUCUCUCUCUCUCUCUCUCUCUCCCUCCCUCUCUCUCUCUCUCUUUUCUCUCUCUCCCUCUCUCUCUCUCUCUCUCUCUCUCUCUCUGGUUUGUUCUCGUCGUUUAUUCUCUCUUUUCUCAUCCUCCUUUCUCUAAUCUGUGUCUCCUCUCUCUCUCUCUCCCUCUUUUCUCUUUCUCUCUCUCUCCCUCUCCCCCUCUCCCCCUCUCUCUCUCUCCCUCUCUCUCUCUCUCUCUCUCUCUCUCUCUCUCUCUCUCUCUCUCUCUCUCUCUCCCUCUCCCACUAAGGUGAUCUUCUCCAGUGUUCCCAGCUGAGCCGUGGUCUCUCACAGAUGUCAGGUCUAGAUGAUCCUAAAUCAGAGGAAUGAGGAUCUUAAUCUGGUCUAAUCUGAGGAUCGAUGACUUUGACUCUCGUUGAUGUCACCUCUGACAACUCUCUGACCCUAACAAACCUCAGCCCUCACACUGACAGGGAGCUCUGAAUCCUUUUAGCUUCACUGGUUUAUAAGUCGCUCAGUUUUCUCUGCAGUGUUCUUCUUCUUCAUGGAUUUUAUUCAAACUCUAAUUUUCACUUUGUCACUCAUUAAUACGGUAUUUACUUUGUUUUCUUGCUUGUGUCGGCAGUCGUGGCCAAAGGAGGAUUCAGACAAUUUUCCGAACUUUCUGGUUGGUUUCUACUGUCCGAUAUUGUAGCACGCUAACUUUGUUUGGGCUCCUGAACGACACGGGGGAGCAGCGUCUGCCUCACAACCAAUCAGGUUAGAGGAGGUGGAGAAUGGCUUUGUUUACAGUCAGAAAGAGUGGACCGCUCAAAAAUGUUCAAAUGUUGACGACACAGACAGAAGAGAACACAGAGAUAUCGAUAUAUUACCAAAUGUCAUCAAUAACUAAUAACUAUUGACUGAUAUUAAAAGAUUUUUUGUAAAUACACCACAAAGAAAGAUGCUUCUUUAACAGAAUCCUGACUACCCCACCUUUAACUAGCCUAACUCUAACACUAUUGAUGCUUUGAAAUGUAGAUCUAAAUUUAGACAGUGUGCUUUCUACAUAAAGGCGAGUCUCAGACAUUAAAUCUUAUAACAAAAUUGAGGUGCUGCUAUUGUGGUAAAAACAAACCAGAGCUGAAGCUAUUUUAGAGCAAAGUUUUCAAGCUAUGUAGUAAUAAUGAUAAUUGUUUAUAAAAAGUUUGUGUUUCUGACCUCGUUAGUUUGUUUCAUUUAGUUUAUAUGUUUAAUGUUUGUCAGAGGGGCCCCUUGAGGGUUUUUCCUUGGGGCCCCAGCACACUCUAGAAUCGACUCUGACUGUACCGACUUACAGCGAUGACUCUGAUCUCACAUAAAUCCUCUUCAGCUCUCAGUGUAAUGAUCAAACCCUCGAGGCUCCGAGUAAAUGAGAUAAUAUAGUCGCGGGGCGUUCUGCACAUGCUCAUGUUUGUCACAUCCAUGUAUGUGGAAGAAGCAAUUUGCAUCAACAGGACUGGAAGAAAGCGAGUUUAUUGGUCCCCUAACACCUCUGGGCUGGAAAAUCCUCACGGUCUGAUCAAACCAGAACUCUGAGGCGGGUCUGAGGUCCGUUUCAUCAACAGGAAACUGACUCACACAAAGCUUUGGUCGGGACUUGAUGCCUGAUGGACAAAGAGACUCAGUUACAGGUUUGAAAAUGAAGAAAAAUCACCGCAGGUCAGAUUUUUAUUGCCGCCACUUUUAAUUCUGUCGACACAAACGUGAUGUAUCCACAAGGACGCGUUUGUCCUUCAUGAUACGUGUGUUUGAACGGACAGAAGCACCACAGCUCACAAGUUCACGUCUUUCGAAGUCAAAAUCAUGAGACACGUUUCUAAAGACAUUUAAAAAGGAAACAAAACUCUUAAAAGGAUUUUAUGCAACAAUUCAGUCCAAUUUAAACAAAUUCAACAUUUGCGUCAUUCGCGCCGCCAGAGUAGUAGGAGCAUCUAAUCGCGUCUUUGCAUUGACUUGUAAUUCAUUCGCGUCAAUAAUUUUACUCGCGCUUGGUGUGUGGAGACAGUUAAAGUGUUGACUAAACUUCGCUAUAUAUUUUAUUUUUACUUUCUUUUACUCCCUGAUAAGUAAUUUCACUUCACGCCUGAUUUUGACGUUAUUUCAAUCGACACACUCCAGUGAAAAUGGACGUCGCUCACAUAGUGGUGCGACAGGGAUGACAUGGGGCCCAUUUAGGUGGGUAUCCAUCUAAGAUGUCAUUGUAAUGUGACGACUAGUUGUUGCAAUAUUUUAGGACAUUUUUGUGGGGUAAGGUUCGUCAGCCCUUGGGGGCCCCCUAGUGGCCUGGGGCCCCAGUCAACUGCCUGCCUUACCUGUUGACAACCUCCGGCCCUGAAUACAGCGAGUGUUUUAGUGUGAAAAGGACAAAACUGGGACCACAGAUAAACAUAAAGUAUGUGAGGAAGCAUGGAGAGGAUGUGACAGUGUGUGCCUGAAGAAUUACCCUGUAAGGUAUCAUUCACAGACUCUUUAUACAGCAGCUGUGCGCUCUAAGUACCCGCUCUUUUCCGCUGUCACUUUUUCAAAGUUAAACUUGAAACGAGUGGAAGAAAGAUGUGCAAAGUUAAGAAUACCUCGCAGCAAAACUGAGAUGACAUCUGGAGGAUUUCAGGCUCUUCAGCUCCGAGCGGCACCUGCAGGAAGACAUAUGGCCCGCUAGCUUUUGUUUACUUCAGCGCCAUAUGCGCUGAGUGAUGCAGGCAGAUCCAAGCAUUCAUAUUUACACGCGCACAUAUGCCUACGUGUGGAUGCACACAGUCACCCUUCCUCGAUUCAAAAACACCCACAUAAACACAAUCACACGCCUCGGCUCACACAUUUUCUCACGGCUGGAAAAAGAAAAGGGAUGGUAAUGUUUUCAUCACGACAUGUAAAUCUUUAAGAGAGCGAAACAAACCCUGAUGAAUACUUGGAGGUCUGUGAGCAGUGAUGGAUGGCAGACAGAGCGAUGUGGGAUAAGGACACCGGAGACUUCCUCCUCACUCUUUGUUUUCCCUCAGAUGUGACGUGACAGACAACCUCUGUCUGGCAGAGGAGCCUUCAGUCAUUAAUUAAACAUUAACCACUCCAGCUCCAGGACGUCAGGCAGCGUCUUCUGACAGAUGUCAGAGUUCCCAACAUGCCUCACUGACUUAAUGUCACCAAAGUAAGGAAGUGAACAAGGUGCAGCAUUAAAAUCAUUUAAAAAUCUGUCUGAAUGUCAGGACAAGAGGAGCAGGACGGAGCUGCAGAGCUUACUCAUUCAUGCCCUGCAGAGUUUGUGGACGGCUGAGCCUCGUCUUUAAAUGACAGGGUUGCUGAGGUUGUCGGUUUUCAUUGAGCCUCUAGUUGGCGACUGAAAUAAAAGUUUUAAAAAGUGUAAGAAUGAGAGCUUAAUUAAAGCUGCAAGUGGCGAUAAACGGGUCUAUGUCGGGACCUGAAGCAGCUGAGGGAUGUUCACCGGAGCGAGACUGUGCUGCAGCGAGGACUGAGCAGGAAUAAGUGGAAGAAAAACCAGGAGGUGAAUGUCUCUGUAGAUCCACUCAGACUCCGACUGUCAGCAUGUGUUUAAUAUAGAAAAUGUCGUGUGAGGUAAUACCACUUCGUCCAACAGGGGGCACUGUUUCUAUGAACAGGCUCAAACCCACGGAAGAUGAGAACGGCCAUGAUGUUUUUUUUAUACACUGUCAUCUUGUGAUAAUGACUUAUUAUCUCGUUAUCUCAGUGUAACAGAGUUCAUUCAGUUCCUGCGGCGUUUCCGAAAUAUCCCAAAUCUGGAGGGCAUUUUUAAAAGUUACCGUUGAGGUCGGCGAGAACGCCAUUUCUGUUAUCACAAGAAAACAAACAAGAUAAGUCAUUAUCAUGAGAUAACGGUGCAUAAAAAAGAAAAAUCCAUGGCUGUGUUCGUCUUCUGUACAUUCCAUGUAUGCAGAAGUUAGGACCAUGUGUUUCCACUGGGUGGCGCUAUAACAGUAGAGCAGAAAUUGGCACAUAGAUGUGUUUAGGGAUUGAUAUUAAUCAUGUAUAUGAAAUAUCAAACAGAUCAACUGCUUUAAGAAGGAGAAACCUGGGAUUUUCACCCCAUCUGGAAUGGCUCUGAUCCGGAAUGGAGGCGAUUUUCGCUGUAUGCCAAUCCCUGUCGGAUCCGUUUGUGAGACAAAUUUCGUGGCGGAUUACGGACCGCAGGAAUCACGAUCAGAACCCGCAGAUUCAUGAGCAAUUUCACGAUAACAAGUUGUCUUCCUGUUUGUGUUGAGGCCUUUAAAUCUGUGAUUAUUUAAUCAGAAGAUCGAAAGAAUCGUUAUCCGUGGAUUCAAACGAGGUUUUUACACCAGAGAAAGGAAAAUGCAGGAAUAUAUUAAGCCAAUAAAUCUGUCUUUGACCCUCAUACUGAUAAAUCACUCGCUGCAGAAGCCGGACAAGCUCAGUUACAAGUCCAACUAGUUCAUGUUUCCUCAUCGACUGAUUAAAUUAGAUUCAUUAGAUCAUCACCGUCUUAGUCUGGAUCCUGCGCACAGUUUGAGGCGUGAUCGCUAAUUGCCGGCAGAAAAAGGUGAGGAAACAUGGAGCUACUCUUUGGCAACAACUCCCUCUGCGAGCUCCUCUUAAUGAGGAGGUGGGCAGCAUAUGAAUUCAUCCCCCUGGUGGAGUGGAGUGUGAGCUCUGUUGAUGAUUAAAAAUAACUGAGGAUAUGACUUCUGGCAACUGCAGACAUUUCAUUCUUGGAGCUGAUCUUCAUCUGCAGAGCCAGAUGGAUCUGACCUGGACCUGAUGAGCUCGUUAACGGGGACCUGGAGCUGCAUCACAGUCCGGAGGCGAUUGAUUAACACGGGAGGUGGUGGAGCGGGGAUAACAACUGCACUGAAUAGACGGUUUUCUAAUAAGUCGAGUUAGAAACUUUUAAUGAGGGCUGCAACUGGUUAUUAUUUCCUAUUGAUUAUCGAGUUCUUCAAUAGUUCCGUGGGAGAGCACAUUUAAAGUUCUCUGAGUCCAGGAUGAGAACUUCAGGGAGUGUUUGGCACUUUUUAAUUAAGGAGAUGUAACAGUUUAUCAAAAGUAUUGAUGAACUUGGUAUUGAUAAGGUGAGUGAUUAAAAGUAGGAGGAUCGACGGAUUUCACUUUACACUAUCAAUCCAAACCCAAUCGUUUACCGACGUCCAUGCUGAAGACCUGAGUGUAAUGACCCUCGCCACGCUGUCAUGAAACGGUCGAUAACCCGAUUCCUAAGUUUUAAAAGCUUUAUUCAAUCGCUCAAGACCCGGAUGGUGACCAUUUACCAAAGUGAUCUACAGAGUCCACCUGAGAUAUCAAGAACAUCUAACACUGUUAUUCACCCACAGCUAACCCUCAAAUUCCACCGUGUGUUGAACGGUGCUACUGCGUAACGGUUGCGCCAAAGCCUACCAGAUGUGUUUUUGAGGCGGAUUUUGGAGGGCGGGAAUCAUGACGACAAACCUGCGAAUUCACAUGCGAUAGCAGGAUAAUGAGCUGUCUCUAUAAAGACAGACACAUAACCGUAUAAGAAAUAUAUAUUGGUACGAAUUUGUAACUUACCAUCCACUCCCAUUACUCCUGCUAUAGAGUCCCACGCCAUUUCCUUUUUACCAUUGUCUGUAUUUAAGGAAUGAGACCGGUCAGAGAUUAUUCCAUGAUUUUGGACUUCUAAAAACAGCAUCUCCUCAUCAUGGUGUCAAUGUGGUGAAAUGACGUCUGAAAACCCAUGACUUGUUCGUCCGCGCCCAUGUUUGCAUGGUGUGAAAUACGAUCCGUAUAAAGAAAUUCAGGUUUUAUUUUGAAAAGACGGCAAAUGUUUUAUUUCUUGUCUGAGCCUGACUUCCUUUCCAGCACGGGUUCAUGUGUGCUGAAUGUAUACGGCAUGCUCUGGCGUCCACAAAAAAUAGAACCUUAGCGAACGGCUAUGAAGCCCGCUGAACUGCAGCAGAUCGGAA